GUGUGUGUGUGUGUGUGUGUGUGUGUGUGUGUGUGUGUGUGUGUGUAUAUAAUAUAUAAUUAUACGCGUACACUCACAGACACACACUCACAG